GGUUUGCCCGCUGAAUUUAA
rnacentral:rRNA from 2 species